AUUGAACGCUGGCGGCAUGCUUUAUACAUGCAAGUCGAACGGUAACAGGUUAAGCUGACGAGUGGCGAACGGGUGAGUAAUGCAUCGGAACGUGCCCGAUCGUGGGGGAUAACGCAGCGAAAGCUGCGCUAAUACCGCAUACGAUCUGAGGAUGAAAGCGGGGGACCGUAAGGCCUCGCGCGAUCGGAGCGGCCGAUGUCAGAUUAGGUAGUUGGGGGGGUAAAGGCUCACCAAGCCAACGAUCUGUAGCUGGUCUGAGAGGACGACCAGCCACACGGGGACGGAGACACGGCCCAGACUCCAACGGGAGGCAGCAGUGGGGAAUUUUGGACAAUGGGCGAAAGCCUGAUGCAGCAAUGCCGCGUGCAGGAAGAAGGCCUUCGGGUUGUAAACUGCUUUUGUACGGAGCGAAAAGGCUCUCUCUAAUACAGGGGGCUCAUGACGGUACCGUAAGAAUAAGCACCGGCUAACUACGUGCCAGCAGCCGCAGUAA
rnacentral:rRNA from 1 species